CAGGAUUCCUGUAAAAGAAUUGUAAUGCUCUGCUAUCCAGAGUGAUUUUAUAGCGCCUUCUCUCACUCACUUUCUAUGUAGUGCUGUUUCUCAUCUGUUUCUCGAGAGCUUAGAUUAUUUCCCAGUUGUUUUUAUGAUAUGGUUAAUCGCUGCCAUUCUUGAGGGAUUUUUGGGUGAGAAUUGUUGGUUCAAUAUAUCAGUAAAUAUAUCGGCUUUUCAGCUCCAAGUCCGCAAGCCUCAACUCCAUAUCCAGCAGGCUGAAAACAAUAGGCUUAAGGUUCAAUUAUG
rnacentral:misc_RNA from 1 species